rnacentral:rRNA from 1 species
UACGUAGGGUGCAAGCGUUGUCCGGAAUUAUUGGGCGUAAAGAGCUCGUAGGCGGUUUGGUAAGUCAGGUGUGAAAUCUCCACGCUCAACGUGGAGGGGCCACCUGAUACUGCCAUGACUGGAGUCCGGUAGAGGAGUGUGGAAUUCCCGGUGUAGCGGUGAAAUGCGCAGAUAUCGGGAGGAACACCCGUAGCGAAGGCGGCACUCUGGGCCGGUACUGACGCUGAGGAGCGAAAGCGUGGGGAGCAAACAGG